rnacentral:rRNA from 1 species
UAGAGUUUGAUCAUGGCUCAGGACGACCCUUUACGGCGUGCCUAACACAUGCAAGUCAACUUGACUGAAGGAGUAAUCUGACAGUAGAGUGGCGCAAGGGUGCGUAACGCGUAAGUAACUUGCCCCAAGGUAAGGAAUAACGUCGAGAAAUCGGCGCUAAUACCUCAUAAUGCAGCGGAUCCGCAUGGAUAUGUUGUUAAAGGUUUACCGCCUUGGGAUAGGCUUGCGUCUGAUUAGUUAGUUGGUGUGGUAACGGCACACCAAGGCUACGAUCAGUAACUGGUCUGAGAGGAUGAUCAGUCACACUGGAACUGAGACACGGUCCAGACUCCUACGGGAGGCGGCAGUGAGGAAUAUUGGGCAAUGCUCGAAAGAGUGACCCAGCAACGCCGCGUGGAGGAUGAAGGUAUUCUAUAUCGUAAACUCCUGUGAGAGCAGACGAAAGACAGAUUAUUAAUCUGGAUGACUGUAUGCUCAGAGGAAGCCCCGGCUAACUACGUGCCAGCAGCCGCGGUAAUA